rnacentral:rRNA from 1 species
GACGAACGCUGGCGGCGUGCCUAAUACAUGCAAGUAGAACGCACAGUUUAUACCGUAGCUUGCUACACCAUAGACUGUGAGUUGCGAACGGGUGAGUAACGCGUAGGUAACCUGCCUGGUAGCGGGGGAUAACUAUUGGAAACGAUAGCUAAUACCGCAUAAUAUUGAUUAUUGCAUGAUAAUUGAUUGAAAGAUGCUAUUGCAUCACUACCAGAUGGACCUGCGUUGUAUUAGCUAGUAGGUGAGGUAACGGCUCACCUAGGCGACGAUACAUAGCCGACCUGAGAGGGUGAUCGGCCACACUGGGACUGAGACACGGCCCAGACUCCUACGGGAGGCAGCAGUAGGGAAUCUUCGGCAAUGGACGAAAGUCUGACCGAGCAACGCCGCGUGAGUGAAGAAGGUUUUCGGAUCGUAAAGCUCUGUUGUAAGAGAAGAACGGGUGUGAGAGUGGAAAGUUCACACCGUGACGGUAUCUUACCAGAAAGGGACGGCUAACUACGUG